AUUGUUUUCUGGUGUGGUGGUGUUUGUUAUGAACUCGGAGAUUCGGAGAAAUUUUCGGCAGUCGGCUUCGAACGUUUCCCCAAAGGUAUCGAAAACAGAGGACAUCAACCCUCGCCCGUUUCAACCUCGCAAUGGGUCGGUAACCCUUUCCGCUGGGUCGCAUGCACUUAGAGCCCCGGGGGGUGACAACGACCUUCGGAGGCCGAACACCAGGACGUCGCUGGAGAAAACACGUGAAGUGAAAAUAUUGAAGAAUCCGCCAUUCUGUAGAUACGUGACGCGGAGGAGGUACGACAAAAAUUCCAAAUAAGGCAAAAAAGAAACUGUACUCGGUAAACAGAACACUGUUCCUUCAGUAGGUGUAUAACGUCAUUUAGUUUCGUAUAGUCGCACACCUACUAACAGUACGAGUAACAGUUACCGAAAUUAUAAUUUCGUAUGAUUUCAAUACGUAUCUAAUUGAAAUCAUGGAAUCGUUGCUCCUCUUCCAUAACUUCAACGUUAAUCUAGAUUCUUAAAUGAGUAAAACGUAGUUUUCAGUAACCUACACGUGAAUGGCCAAAAUAAUAUUUUCU
rnacentral:lncRNA from 1 species